UGUGUUUUUGCUAACAAGACUGUGGAACUUGUAAGCAGAGAGCUUUCCCACCCUUCCCUUCUCCCAAGCAUCCGACAAGCCACGUUUUCAGAGAGGCCACACCCUGCUUGUUAUUGUUGAAUUCAAAUAUUAAAGGUCUCUGCUGCCGACACUAGACACAUUGACAUUCAGGCAUAUAGCUCCUGAAGUAGUAAUAUUCUCAACACGCCUGGAUUUUCUCCAGCUGCUUCAAGUCUUCAUGCAAUUUAUCAUCUACCCCACUGGCCAUGAUCUGUUGUUUCUGCCAUCCUUGCCAUCCUUCUACCUGAUGAGGCACAAACUAGGAAUCCUAUACUAACAGGAGUUCUGCCUACUGGUGAAAAUAUUCUCCUCCUCAUCUUCUGCCAGCAUCCCUUCUCUGCUGGUAAAGUCAAUCUUUGUUACUCAGUACCAUGUGUCUAACAUUGGCCCAGAACACUGGAUGGCAAAAUGAUUUUAUGCCAGCUUUUGAUAUUGCUGUUUUGCACAUUCAGGAAUCAUGACAGAUUUGUCUGCACUGCUCCACUUUUGGAGACAGGCUGUUGGACCAGAUAAACCCAUGGGUUGUGAGGCUGUUCUUAUUUUCUAGAGAAAACCAAACCACGCAUCACUUUACUCCCUAAAAGCACAAACACAAAAAUGCUGUAUUAGCACAAGUUCAUUUAUCAAUGGAUUCCAAAUCAAGAAUGAAGGUUAUGGUUGUAGCAGUUAGCUAUGACUGAUAUUUAGUACAUUUUUUCAUCUAUCUAUUGUGGAGACAUGAAAUGGGUUCUUCAUGGGUAAAAUAUGCUGUAAGGGAAGCUUUUCCUCUAGGUCAGUCCCUGGAAAUUAUGCUACAUGUCACCAGGAGAAGUGAUGUUUAUAUUAUUUUGCAGGACUGAUUGACCAUGCUCUUAUAAUAUACCUUAUAUUGAGAUGCAGGAUUAAACAUACUGAAUGCUGAAAAACAAUAAGGUCAGAGGAAUACAAUUGCCAAGUAAAACAAAACAGAAUUAAACCUAAAUUUCCACCAUAGAACUCCCACGUGUUGGUAUUUGAGACUUAGGAGAGGAAUAGGCAAGUUAGGCCUAACAGAGAUUUGUUUUCUUUGGCCAGUAAACAGCUAAUCAUUUUUUAAACUUGGCUCUUGUUUCAGAUAUCACAUUCUGUAUGACUGCCCCUUUGUUCCCCUCUUUUAAGUCUUUUGAAUUUCUUUAAUAUAUGACAAGGUCUUUUAAUUCAUUAUAUUUUGUUUGUUUGUUUAGAAUAAGAAGGUAAUCUACUGUGAAGCACAUUAAAGGGAAGGUAAAUAUUUUUGGUGACAACUCGACACCUACUGAGUUCAAAUCCACCCUAGACUAAUGUUGGUUACCCUCUCAUGUCUCCCCAAAGCCACAUGGAUUUUUGAUUACAGUACAACCGCAGACUUGCACAGUAAAUCAGUCACUACAGUCAAACAGCAGUAAUGACACAUUCAGAAGUGUAACUUGUGGCAUUCAGCCACCAGCUAGGGGUCUAUGGGGAGCUGCAGUACCCCAGGGAGGGAAAGCUGGAGCAGACACCACGUCUUCCAGAGCAGCCUCACAGCACUGAAGACAGUGAAGCUUGUGCUCUCUGUUUUAAGUUAAGCUGACUGUCAACUUGUGAACUGACGUGACUGCAAAAACAGAUUUAGAGGCACUCAACAAAAUGACUGUUCAGGAGCAAACUUUUAUGAUUUACCUCAGGCUGAGCGUACAAGCUCCGGCUGUGGCAGACGCUUGCAAGGUGCGGGGCUGCGGUGAGAAGCCAGCCUCCAAACCCGCUCCAGAGGUGUAAUUUUCCAGAACGCUGCUCUUCUGGGGGUCUUGCCUGGGAUAAGUCUCCAGGGCCACCUACGAAAAGAAGGUGCCGGUCAUUUUAUGAUUUGCCUUUCAAAUGACAAUUACCCUUUGAUUCUUUUGAGCUCCUGGUUUGCUGAGUCCUGGCACCUGCACAGCUUCAGGCUGGAGGAAAGCCACUGUGCUAUAAUGGUACAGCCCUGCUGGGGGAUCAUUUGUCCAGACCCACCAUACUGUUUUUCCAAUUUCAUUUCUAAAUAAAAAUCAAUACAUCCGUACAAAAAUACCCAAUACAUUUGUGUAAUACCACUGUCACUCUAUCCAGGUUCCAUAUGGUAUUCUAAUGACUGCUCUGGAUUCAUAGGCUAUUACCUAAUUGCUUCACACCUACCACACCUAUAAAAAAAAAGAGUUACAAAGUAACUGUAACUAAUCAUGUCAUACAAGCACAUUGAUUAACUCAGACAAAGCACUAUGGAUGUAUAAAACAACCAAAAUACUGUCUUUCGUUUACAGCUACACGUCUGUAAGGGCAGAUGCUGAAAUGCUUCAGCUGUGUCAUUGUUGAAUAUGUUAAUGCUACUGGCCUGUUGUAUAACAGUAGGUCAAGGGAUGGCACAAGGUUUCUUGAGACACAUCAUUAAGUGGUACGGCUAUAGUCAAUCAUACCACACAGAAAGGAAUAUAAGGAAUAUGAAUGUUAAGAACACUUGAAAAGGAAAAAAAAAAAAAAAGAA